UUUCUGCCCUAUCAACUUGUUGGUAAAGUAUUGGCUUACCAAGGUGAUAACGGGUAACGGGGAAUCAGGGUUCGAUUCCGGAGAGGGAGCCUGAGAAACGGCUACCACAUCCAAGGAAGGCAGUAGGCGCGCAAAUUACCCAAUCCAGACACUGGGAGGUGGUGACGAGAAAUACCAGGUCGUUCCCAAAAGGAUGCGACACUGGAAUGAACACAAUAUAAGACAUUUGUCGAGUAACAACUGGAGGGCAAGUCUGGUGCCAGCAGCCGCGGUAAUUCCAGCUCCAGUAGUGUAUCCUAAAGUUGCUGCGGUUAAAACGCUCGUAGUUGGAUUACGGGGUGGUUCUCUGCGGUCUGCUCUCUGUCAAGGCUGCGUCUGUUUGUGAAUAACUGCAGGCGUGGUUUGAGAGUGGACUCUGUUCAGAGGACUGCCACUUGUAUCGUGAGGAUGGUGGUUGGCCUUUACUGUGCUGCCCACUGUGUCUUGCGGAGUGUGCCUUGAAUAAAUCAGAGUGCUCAAAGCAGGCGUAUUGCUUGAAUGUUAAUAGCAUGGAACGAACAAUCGUGAUAUGUGUUGCGUACAGGUCCCCACAUUGGGCUUGCUCGGUGUGACUGUGCGUGAUGCUGCACCAACCACGAUGCGGACGUUGGUUUCCGUGAUCGGGUGAUGAUUAAGAGGGACAAUUGGGGGCAUUGGUAUUUAGCCGCGAGAGGUGAAAUUCUUGGACCGGCCAAGGACCGACAAAUGCGAAAGCAUUUGCCAAGAUUGUUCCCAUUAAUCAAGAACGAAAGUGAGAGGUUCGAAGACGAUCAGAUACCGUCCUAGUUCUCACCGUAAACUAUGCCAACCCGGGAUCAGUUGCGAUCGAUUUUACAUAAGAUCCAUGUUGGUCCCCCCGUGAAACC
rnacentral:rRNA from 1 species